rnacentral:rRNA from 1 species
GACGAACGCUGGCGGCGUGCUUAACACAUGCAAGUCGAACGGAAAGGCCCUGCUUUUGUGGGGUGCUCGAGUGGCGAACGGGUGAGUAACACGUGAGUAACCUGCUCUUGACUUUGGGAUAACUUCAGGAAACUGGGGAUAAUACCGGAUAGGAGCUCCUGCUGCAUGGUGGGGGUUGGAAAGUUUCGGCGGUUGGGGAUGGACUCGCGGCUUAUCAGCUUGUUGGUGGGGUAGUGGCUUACCAAGGCUUUGACGGGUAGCCGGCCUGAGAGGGUGACCGGCCACAUGGGGACUGAGAUACGGCCCAGACUCCUACGGGAGGCAGCAGUGGGGAAUAUUGCACAAUGGGCGGAAGCCUGAUGCAGCAACGCCGCGGGCGGGAUGACGGCCUUCGGGUUGUAAACCGCUUUCGCCUGUGACGAAGCGUGAGUGACGGUAAUGGGUAAAGAAGCACCGGCUAACUACGUG